rnacentral:rRNA from 1 species
AGUGAACGCUGGCGGUAUGCCUAACACAUGCAAGUCGAACGGCAGCACAGUAAGAGCUUGCUCUUACGGGUGGCGAGUGGCGGACGGGUGAGGCAUACAUCGGAAUCUACUUUUUCGUGGGGGACAACGUAGGGAAACUUACGCUACUACCGCAUACGACCUACGGGUGAAAGCAGGGGAUCUUCGCACCUUGCGCGAUUGAUUGAGCCGAUGUCGGAUUAGCUAGUUGGCGGGGUAAAGGCCCACCAAGGCGACGAUCCGUAGCUGGUCUGAGAGGAUGAUCAGCCACACUGGAACUGAGACACGGUCCAGACUCCUACGGGAGGCAGCAGUGGGGAAUAUUGGACAAUGGGCGCAAGCCUGAUCCAGCCAUACCGCGUGGGUGAAGAAGGCCUUCGGGUUGUAAAGCCCUUUUGUUGGGAAAGAAAAGCAGCAGGUUAAUACCCCGCUGUUCUGACGGUACCCAAAGAAUAAGCACCGGCUAACUUCGUG